rnacentral:rRNA from 1 species
GGAUGCGAUCAUACCAGCACUAAAGCACCGGAUCCCAUCAGAACUCCGAAGUUAAGCGUGCUUGGGCGAGAGUAGUACUGGGAUGGGUGACCUCCUGGGAAGUCCUCGUGUUGCGUUCC